AUGUUGUUUAUGUUAUUUCUAUGUCGUUAUGCUAUUUUUAAGUGUGGAACUAAUUUUAAUAUGAGCAAAAAUUAGACCCCGCACGCGUUGCGGCGCGGGCAACGAAUGUCGAAACAUCGCCAACACGCGCUAUAGCAUAUGACAUCAAGCGAAGUUUUUAACUUCAUGGUUGCUUUGUUGUUUUGACGCAUUGCUGCUACUCAACUUUUGUAGCCAACUUAGGAACUUGAGCUAGUGGAAGUUCACGAACAUUAUCCUCUCCUGCAAUUACAAUUGUUUUGUACCAAUUAAACAAUGCUAUCAUCAAGCACCAUUAUUAGAGUUCAUUAAAAGUAAACCAUAAUUUGCUCAACCUUAAAUUGUAUAUUUAUAUGCACUGUACAAUGAGAUACAAUGCAGAAUAAAAAGACCUAAAACUAAAACCCAAUUUGAUAAUGACUAUUACGGGUCAAACAUAACUAUACAAUAGGAUAACCUAUAAAGCCUAUCUACAUAAUUUAAUAUGCUAUUAAAGAAGGAUACCUAUUUAAGAUCUCCACUUUUAUACAUAAGCAACUUCCAUGGAAUGAUAUUUCUUUUCUU
rnacentral:lncRNA from 1 species